CAUCCACAAUUUCACUACUUAAAAUAGCUAUUUCAGUUGUAAAUAACAAGCUCUAUUUUCUCUCCAUAUUGUGUCUUAUUCUGGGAUAGUGAACAAGGCCUUAAAUCUUUGCCUGGACUGUUUUUCUGGAGUGGCCCUGCAGCCACCUUCCCUUGAAGAGUUCAGGAGAGAGAUGCACAGGAGACAAGAUCAAAUGCAAGCUCCUCUCAUGAGGCUCUCAACUGGCAUGCUCAGAGUGACUACAGAGAGAGCUGCAUGCCACCUGCUGAGAGACCAUGGAGACACUGGAGUGAGCAGGGGCCUGAAUCCCAUCUCUAUGGCUUGUUUUCCCUUGGUUAGGAUGCAACCUUACUGGGCUUCAGUUUUCUCUUCUGUAAUAUGGGAGUAUCCUAGGCUCAUUCAGAAGACUUGGUUUCCAUGUUUAUUGUCCAUCUUCUUGUAGUUAGAAGUACAGUUUUUGAGGAAUGUCUUAUUUUCCAUCUCUUUUCAGCCCUUAGAAUUGUGUUUGGCACGUGGUAAAUGUUUAAUGGAGACAUGUGACCAGCUUAGUAAUUAAAUCACAUAGUGCAUAUAAAAUGCCAGGUGGCAUACCUGGAACAGAGCAGAAGCCAGUGCAAGCUCAGCGUGGGAAGCCCUCUGGAGAAAGCUCAGG
rnacentral:lncRNA from 1 species